rnacentral:lncRNA from 1 species
UUUUUUCAUAAAAUAAUAUGACAAGGAAAGUCAAUGAAUCCAGUCCAUUUCGAUCGACAAAUCGACAGUUUUUUUUCCACUUCCGUGUCUUCCGGUCACUCUCUCUCUCUCUCUUCCUCACUACCUUCUCUUUCCCCCUUCAAUUCCCGAGCAAAAUAAGAAAUACUGCUAAUAAGACUAAUCGACCAAAAAUUAAAGCAUUCCUCUUCUUCAGCCUCGAUCGUAUUUCUUCAUCUCCCCCUCAAUAAAUUCCAUCUCGGUUUAAUCUCCUCCCCAUCCCAUAAAACCCUAGAAUUGGGUUGCAACAACAACUCACAGCCAGAAACAAUAUCAAUGGCGGCAGAGGAUGAAGGAUGAGGGAUGAGUUUUCAGGCCGAUGUUCUGAAACCUAUUUCUUCGUCGCUAAAAACCGAAGCAACCAAAUCGCUGACAAGUAUUUAGGUAAGUAUAUAAAUCCAUAUAUAACUUUCUACUGUUGAUUAAGCUUCCAUUAUAUAAUUAUAAGAGAUUUUCACCUUCAUCUCACCGAUAAACCAUCCUUCUCCUCUUCACUACCUCUCUUUCCCCAUGAAUCAGAAACCUAGAUUCCUCACCCUCUCUUUCACAAAGUCGCACCAUAUCGAUCAUACACGUACUUUUAAUUGGCUCUUCGAUUAUGGAUUAAUGGAAGACAUCUCCGCUGUCUCCGACGUUCGCUUUCCCGCCCUGGUGCCGGCCACAAUUAGUUGCAGCUGGUCGUCACUGACUCUCAAUUGUUCUUCUAAUGCAAGGUGAGUCAUUCAAUUCCACCACUUUUUGUUUGUAUCGACUCCUGAAUUUAUUUUUUGUUCGACUCCCUUAGAAAUUCAAUUUUCUGUCUUUUUUUCUAUAUACUUGGUUUUUUUUUUUGGUUGAGGAAUUAGUCUAUAAUCAUUUAUCUUAUAAUCUUAACUUUACUUGACAUGUUUGUUGAUUUUUUGUGUAUUGAAGUGAGUACUUUUUUCGUAAUUUUAGAUUUAUAGGUUGGAAGUAUUCCAGGGGUUCUUAAUUUUAGUUUGGAAUACCAGUUUGCAUUGUAAAUAAACUUUAAUUUCCAGAUAAAAAUUUCAUACUUACUACAUAUAUGAAUAGUAGUUGUAUCAAAUUUUCACUUUUCAAAUAUCUCAGUGAUGAUUAUUGGUUAAGGGAUAAUUCUUACUUUAAACUACAAAUUGUUUCUCUAUUUCCCCAUCAUUACAAAUACUUCCAAGUCUACCAAUUAAUUCUCUAAGAACAAUGUUUUCACCAUUAUUUGUUGAAUUCACGAAUGAUAUGUUGUUGGGGAAGAGACAAUUGAGCUAAGAUCAGACUCAAAAGGGAUUGCUCUGAUCCAUUGAAUUUUCUCAAUUUGAAUUGAAAAAAUAAUUGGGAAUUUGUUCAGAAGUGGAAUUAAGCUCAUUGUUUUGAAUUUCCAUCCCAAAUUCAGUGGAAUUCCAUGUGUGUGGAAAUGUGUUUCCUUCAUUCCUAAAAAGUUUUAUCUUUUUUCAUAUGAAAGAGGACCCGAACAAGAAUUAUGCACAAAACAGAAAAUUUUUUGAAAAAAAAUUCUUGAUUUGGAACGAAUAAGGAAAAAAGUUGAAGGAAAUUUGGGAAGGGUCAUCUACUUUAACAAAGGUAUCGAUGUAUAAUGGUAAUUUAUGGUCUGUGUUUUCUUUCUUUCGAUUUAAUGAUUUCUCCCUUGGUUUAUAGUAUGUGGGUUUAAAAUUUUCUCUGUUUUUGAGAAGUGAUGAAUAUUGAAGCUCAGUUUUUGAUGCAAUAAUUGAUUGAUAUGAAACAGGAUUUGUAAGAAUUAUAUAUAUUUCUAUUAUUUAUUUAUUUGUUUGUUUUAAUUUUUUGGGGGAAUUAUUUAUUUAUUUAUUUAUCCAAGAGAGUUAUGAAAAUUGUCAUUACUAUUUGCAUGGCUCAUUUUUUGCAUUUUGGUUCUGGGUCAUCCUGAACUGAUAUGAAUGGAAUUCUUUGUUUCUUUGACUAAGAUGCACUUGAUGAGAUGGGCACUGCAUAGUUGAGUUUGAGCAGACCAUCAAUGAUAUCAGAGCUGAGAUGGGGGUAAGAAGGAACUCCAACGUCUUCUACCACUUUGAAGCGAAAAGAAGAAACCAAGGCAGUUGACAAUGUAUCAUAAUAUUUGGCUCCCGUUUACUUUGUUGGUUUGGGUCUCUCUGUAUUUUGCGGGUUAAUUGCUUAGAUUUGGAACUGAAAUGAAAUUUUUACCGAGACAUAGUGAGACAUGUAACUAAAAUAUCUUAUGCUAUAAUUUCCAACAAAUAAUAGCAGAGAAUCAUUUAGUGUGUUUUUUCUUCGAUAAUGAAUCCUUUGUUGUACAUGUAUCUUAUGGUGGAUGUUAAGGUUGCAAAACUCAUGAGAUUCAAGGACUCAUCUAUUCCAUUUGGAUCUUAAACACUGCUAUAGCAUUAGCUGCAAUACUAACCUAAUGUAUGUGCUUAAUACUGCCUCGCCCCAUCUCCCUAGACUGUUGUUCAGGCAAUUGCAAAAUUGUUAGUUUGCUUACCU